UUGACUUAUUUGUAUUGAGACUCAGAUAUACCAACUAUAGCAAGAGUUUUAUAGCGACCUUCGGCAGGCACCUCAGCGAAGAGGCCCUGGCUCCGCCCUGGAGCCGCCUGCCGAGGCAACGAGAUACAGGUAUGUUCACAGUGGGUUAUAGAGUAGAAUACUCUGUAAUGAUCCCUCCGCUGGUUCACCAACGGAGA
rnacentral:misc_RNA from 1 species